GGUCUUGACAUCCCGGAGACCCUUAGGAAACUAGGGGGUGGCUUCCAUCUGGAAGGAAUCUGGAGACAGGUGCUGCAUGGCUGUCGUCAGCUCGUGUCGUGAGAUGUUGGGUUAAGUCCCGCAACGAGCGCAACCCUUGCCUUUAGUUGCCAGCAGUUCGGCUGGGCACUCUAAAGGGACUGCCGGGUGUUAAACCGGAGGAAGGUGGGGGAUGACGUCAAGUCCUCAUGGCCUUUAUGACCAGGGCUACACACGUACUACAAUGGCCGAUACAAAGGGCAGCGACACUGCGAGGUGAAGCCAAUCCCGUAAAAUCGGUCUCAGUCCGGAUUGGAGUCUGCAACUCGACUCCAUGAAGUUGGAAUCGCUAGUAAUCGUGGAUCAGCAUGCCACGGUGAAUACGUUCCCGGGCCUU
rnacentral:rRNA from 1 species